UCCAUUUCCAUCACAUCCCAGUUAAACAAGGUGGUGGAUCUAAAAGCAGAGCAGGAAGGAUUCAGCAGCUCUGAAUCUCGAGGAUCUAAACACGCCGAGAGAGACUCGCUACGUCUAAAAUCAGUCUCUGGAUCCUCAGCUGAGAUGAGUCCUGGUGAGAUUGUACUCGAACCUGCUGCCGAGGACGAUUCCUUCUCCGAUGCGUCUCUACUGCACAGUGUCGAGAUUGUCGGAGCUGGAUGGACGCCACAUAUCGGAGAAAGCCUGGAGGAGGAACUGAGCACGUUCUCCAGCUACUCCAUCCACACAGGUCAGCCAGACGUCUUUUAAGCUCACGCGGGACAUAACAUGACGUGGCGGG